UGGAUUUUUCCAAAAAGGUGGCAACCCUAUUAUGUGCAGCAUUUUGCUUUCAAACCCUGCACAUACAGAUAUUAAACCUUUACAAAGUUCCAGGCUAGCUUAUGUCAAUUCUGUGCAAAAUUGGCAUCUGGCACCAACACUAAAUACUGGCGCCAGGCUGUGACUCUAUUCAGCUCCUGGCACUGCACCUACUAGAACUUACAUCAGCGCUGUACUCUCAAGAAUGCACAGAUUCCAAAAACAG